AGGAUUAGGAUUAUAGUUAUGUAAUUUUGAUUUUAAAAAUGAUUAUGUUUUAUUUUUUAAUUAAAUGAUAGAUACUUUUAUUGGGAUAAUUUAUUUGUAGUUUUCGUGUAUUAUGUAUAAGAUUUUUGCUUUUGAAAUGAUCAUAUUAGUAUUAGGAUUAUAAUAAUUAAUUAUGUAAUUUUGAUUUAAAAAAUAAUUAAUAUCUUUCUUCUUCCUCUUCUUCUUCUUCUUCUUCUUCUUCAUCUUCCAAUAUUGCAACUUCGCCAAAUCACAGAUAUCUUUUGAUUUAAUUCAUCACAGAGGUCAAUCGAGCAAUGAUGUCGACGAUUUUAGACUGAAGAAGCUUGCAGCUUUCCAAAGAAAGGCUGUGGAGCACGCAUUUUCCUAUAUGUGAUUCGAGUCCCUUGGGAAAACACAUAUCACACACUCGGCAGCUUAUAAUCAGUGGAGAGAAUAGUCUACAGCACUUGCUCCAUCUACGAGGUCGAAAACUACGCAAUCAUCAAAUCAGUUCUGUCUCUGGCUUCUUCUUUUGGAUUCCAACUUGAAGCUCCCAUUCCUCAAUGGCCUUCCGGUCUCUGAAGGCUGUAAGUACUCUCUCAUUACUAUCCUUCCACAUAUAUACACAGAUUUUUCAUCUUUUAUAACUGGCAAGCUCUAUCUGGGUUUGUGAGUGAGACAAAGAACGUGUUAACAUUGGAAUGUUAAGAUUCAGAAACAGGACCUAAACAUCGGCACCCACACCAUACCACACCACCACCACCACUACCACUACCACUACCACUAAUUCUAUCUCAGACUCGGUCUUUACUCCCACUCGACGCGGCGCUCCUCUCCUCUUCCUCACUUUGAUCUCUCUAAACUCUCUCUUCCUUUUCUGCUUUCUAUCUGAUGCGAAAUUGAUUCUCAGCUAAAAAUGUAAGACAUAUAUACACUUUUCUGUUAUUGUGAUGAUGGUUGAGUAAGUCUUCUGCUUUUAUAUGUGAAUCUGUGUGCGUAAAAUAAGCUUUGAUUAAGUAGCGAAUGAAAAAAAAAAAAGAAAAAUAACUAGAGAGAAUUAUAAUAUUAAGAAAAUAUCGUGUUGGUCUUUGUAACAGUUCAUAGGGAUAUAGUGAUAAUUUCAAUAAGUUUGUUCUUAUUUUUACCAAAUGUUUCGUUUCAGACUGUUGAGACUGUAUUCUAUUGACUAUUAACAAUUAUUCACUUUCAAGGUCA